AUAGGAGAAGGAAAAAGAGCCAGAAGAAGGGAAAGGCUGUAGAUGUGAAGGGAGGCAGGGGAACUGAUGGAGCAGGAUCCCAGAGCUACCUGGAUGGGAGCCGGAUGCCUCCAUCUCUGUUAGCCUGAGGCAGAGCUGAUUUCCUCAGUGACUCUCAACUUCCAGAUAAGGACUCGGCCACUCCUGGCGCUGGGAAUCCCUAGAGCCUCCUGCCACCCAGAACCAGGAGAUGAAUACCCACACUCACCAGACCUUCUGUGAGAGGCAUCUCAGGGCACCCCGCUCCCCACCACUGCCUCAAGCUAUGGGUGGCACAUGGGCCAGCAGGAAGGCAAUGCCCAGAUGAGACGGCACCCCCACCUUAACUGCUCCUUCUCUGCGCCCCUCCGCCAGCUCUGGAGCUGCACCCACUGGCUCUCCUGCUGUCAUGGGAUCAGCAGAGGCCCCAGGAAGGAAGCACAUCCUCGAAACCAGGACCAAUGGCUGCAAGAAGUGAGGAGAGACUUAACUCCGCUUUGCACUGGAUCCACGAAGAAAGGUUAGAAGGCACGAAGAAACUGGCAUGAAGAUGGGAAACAGAUGGGGAAGCUGAGACCCAGCAUGGUAAGCCCUCGCCCACGUCCCACAGCUUGUUAGUGAGAGCAAGUCAUCAAUGAGAGUGCCAGACAGGGAGGAGACAAGAGGAGGUCAGCCUCUGUGCCCCUUCACUCCACCAGGGGUUGGGGGGAGGGGGUGGCUGUAUUUCCUCCCAAACUCAUCCUCACAUCACAGUGAGAGUCAGA
rnacentral:lncRNA from 1 species